rnacentral:rRNA from 1 species
UACGUAGGGUGCGAGCGUUAAUCGGAAUUACUGGGCGUAAAGCGUGCGCAGGCGGUUGUGUAAGACAGGUGUGAAAUCCCCGGGCUUAACCUGGGAACUGCGCUUGUGACUGCACGGCUAGAGUACGGCAGAGGGGGGUGGAAUUCCACGGUGUAGCAGUGAAAUGCGUAGAUAUGUGGAGGAACACCGAUGGCGAAGGCAGCCCCCUGGGCCGAUACUGACGCUCAUGCACGAAAGCGUGGGGAGCAAACAGG